UCAGGAGUAUGUGAAGUCACACUAGAAGGCAUGAAUAAUAGUUGGAGUCGGGGUACUUGAUAUCCCUUGAUCUUGUUCUGGAAUUUUGUUGAGUAGGGAGACUUAUUUUCAGUCGCAAUUUGGUGUGAUCUUUAAACUUUAAAGUAUCUGCAGUGAUUUUGUUUAUGUUAUCAACUGUAAGGGUAUUAAGUCGUUCUUGGUUGGAACUUGUGGACUAAUGAAUGUGAUGUCUGA
rnacentral:misc_RNA from 1 species